GUGCCAGCAGCCCGGUAAUACAGAGGGUGCGAGCGUUAAUCGGAAUUACUGGGCGUAAAGCGCGCGUAGGCGGCUUUGCAAGUCGGGUGUGAAAUCCCCAGGCUUAACCUGGGAACUGCAUUCGAGACUGCAUUGCUAGAGUAUGGGAGAGGGAAGUGGAAUUUCCGGUGUAGCGGUGAAAUGCGUAGAUAUCGGAAGGAACAUCAGUGGCGAAAGCGACUUCCUGGACCAAUACUGACGCUCAUGUGCGAAAGCGUGGGGAGCAAACAGGAUUAGAUACCCUGGUAGUCCACGCCAUAAACGAUGACAACUGGAUGUCGGGAGGGUCUGCCUCUCGGUGUCGUAGCUAACGCGUUAAGUUGUCCGCCUGGGGAGUACGGCCGCAAGGUUGAAAUUCAAAGGAAUUGGCGG
rnacentral:rRNA from 1 species